rnacentral:rRNA from 1 species
ACAGCUGGCGGCAGGCCUAACACAUGCAAGUCGAGCGGUAGAGAGAAGCUUGCUUCUCUUGAGAGCGGCGGACGGGUGAGUAAUGCCUAGGAAUCUGCCUGGUAGUGGGGGAUAACGUUCGGAAACGGACGCUAAUACCGCAUACGUCCUACGGGAGAAAGCAGGGGACCUUCGGGCCUUGCGCUAUCAGAUGAGCCUAGGUCGGAUUAGCUAGUUGGUGGGGUAAUGGCUCACCAAGGCGACGAUCCGUAACUGGUCUGAGAGGAUGAUCAGUCACACUGGAACUGAGACACGGUCCAGACUCCUACGGGAGGCAGCAGUGGGGAAUAUUGGACAAUGGGCGAAAGCCUGAUCCAGCCAUGCCGCGUGUGUGAAGAAGGUCUUCGGAUUGUAAAGCACUUUAAGUUGGGAGGAAGGGCAGUAAAUUAAUACUUUGCUGUUUUGACGUUACCGACAGAAUAAGCACCGGCUAACUCUGUGCCAGCAGCCGCGGUAACACAGAGGGUGCAAGCGUUAAUCGGAAUUACUGGGCGUAAAGCGCGCGUAGGUGGUUAGUUAAGUUGGAUGUGAAAUCCCCGGGCUCAACCUGGGAACUGCAUUCAAAACUGACUGACUAGAGUAUGGUAGAGGGUGGUGGAAUUUCCUGUGUAGCGGUGAAAUGCGUAGAUAUAGGAAGGAACACCAGUGGCGAAGGCGACCACCUGGACUGAUACUGACACUGAGGUGCGAAAGCGUGGGGAGCAAAC